UAAGGAUCUUUCUGCAAAAUACAGCGAAGGCUUUGAUCGGACGGCUGAGGAGAGACGCAGCUCUGGUCGCGGACCUCGUCUGGUUCUCCGCCGCCGCGGCGGCCGCCGGCGAUUACUCCGCCGCCUUUGCCCGAGCUCGCUGCGGCCACGGUCUGCGCAGUGGAGGGGGAGGAGGAAGGGGACGAGAGCGGCUGGAGGCUAGGCCGAAGCGGGGGUAAUGCGGAUCUAUCAACUACAGCAGCUGCUCCAACCCACACUGUUAAUGAAUACGAACAGAAAGUUGCGAUCUGUAACAUUCCCAAACCUAGUCCUUUUGUCAUUGCCUCUAUCUUGCUUAGCUUAUAUUGCUUGUCCAUACAUUUGGUGAAUGAUUUGAUUGCCGAAUUUUCUCCAACAAAUGAGAAGACAGUCUUGAUAUGUGAAAGAGUCUGCACAAAUGUAUAUACGAUUACAAAUUUGAUAAAGCAGACCUACUUGGUUCUAAUAUUUCAUCCAUUUGUAUAGGUACCUGUUCUACAACUGUGGUUGCUGCAGAGACCAAAGCUAUUCUUUUCAUCGAUGCGUCAAUCAUCAUUUUUGCAUAUGUUGCGCCAACCAUGAGGAGCAUAGGAACAACCAGCAUGGAGAGCAUACCCACCUCCCAGCAGCAGACGAAAGCAACAAUGAUGGAAACUAAGAAUGUGGAGAAGUUUGACAAAAAGUGACCAAGCUGAGGGAAAAAGGUAAGCUCAUGUUCAAUAUUUGAUUGCCACAUGAACGUUGUAGCACUUUAGUUUGAUUUACUAAAACUUGCAGUGAAUGUUUAUGCUACAAUCGUAUACCUUUUCACCAAUUGCAUCUUGUAUAGCACUCAUAUGGUUGGUUGCUCCAGCCAUGACGUUUGCUGUGGUUAGGUCAGUAUCAAAAGCUCCGAUAUCUUGACUCAGCACUGAUCUCAAGUAUGCCAUCCGCAUGCGUGACAUUUGUCUCUGACUGGUAUACAUCCAACAUGUAAUUUCUGCGGAAGGAUCAUUGUCGCAAAAAGGUAAGAUGGUUUCUUUGAAUCUACUCCCUCCGUCCCAUAAUAUAAGGGUUUUUGGAGGGAUGUGACAAUUCCUAGUACUACGAAUCUGAACAGCACAUCCCUCCAAUAUCCCUUAUAUUAUGGGACGGAGGGAGUAACAUUCUAACAUUAUUUUCAUUUUUUUUUGUUCCAAUCAUGUGAUGCUCUUGUUGCUGCAGACAAACAGACAAGUAGUAACAUAGGGAAUGGUGUUGCUAUGAAUUGCUCACUUUUAAAGUCUUAAUCUUUCGUUUUCUCUGCACAUUUCUGUGUCAUGAUGCUCUGUACUCAGGGUCCAAUUUUCUUUUUCACAUUUUCCAGACAGUUAUCUUCAGGUGCCUAGUAGAUAAUAUAUUGUUAAGGUAUAUGCUACAAAUGUUGACAAUAUUCUAACCAGGUUGGGCCAUACUAGAUUCAGUAGGUUGGCCUAAGCUCAACCAAAAAGCCACUUCACCAACCUUUAGCCACAGUGAAAUUGCUCGACCUUCUGUCUUAUAUUCUGUUCUGUAUGCACUUAUAGCUGUCAAACAGGUUAUAUGAUCUUUGGAUUUUGAUAGGUUCCUUCAGGCUUCCACUAUGCUCUUACUUUAAAGCAUAAUUUAAUAGGUAAUAACUUACUUUCAGUAUCUUACAAGGUACAGUUCCAAAUAUAGAAAAUUUAGAAGAAUGCACUCACCAAUCAUUCCACCAGGAAGUGUAAUAAUUGCCAAUGCCCACAUAUAAGGAAUUAACUACAAACAAGAAUAACACAAUUAGACUAUGUUAAGGGUAUAACCAACAUUUUGCCUUCAAUAUAUAAGUCAAAGAAGAACAUUCAGUGAUACCAGCUUGCAUUCUACAUGGCGGUUUCCAAGUAUUUUGGACAGAUUACCUUAGAGAGUUCAUGGACUGUGGCCUCCCGAUUGCCUAUGUUGUUCCCGACCACAUCGAUGCCUUUGCCGACCAAGUAAUAUGACAUCGAAGGCCCCAUACCAUGCAGGAAGGACCCCAUUGUUCCUGCUACCAUGAGCAGCCAAUCUAGUCCAUCAGCAUAGCGAAGCAGCCCAAAGAAUGGGAACUUUUUGUCCGCCGCAGCAGCUGCCUUUUCUUCCACCGGCGGAGAAGUGAUUUCCUCAUCAUCCACACUGAUGUGUUUAGAGGGUUCAACAGGGUGAUCUUUUUCUUGGAUGAGUGCCAUUGUUUUUGUGAGCCUUCUGAUGGUUUGCAGAAGAGCAGCAGCAGCAGCAUUGGGCUAUGUAUAUAGAAGCAGAAAAUGGUACAAAAAAUGUAUAUAGAAGCAGAAAAAUCAUAUAAGUACAAAAAUGGUAGACGUUCCAUUGAUACUCUCAAUGUUCAUAUGGAUAACUAAUCAACAUGGGAAUUGGAUAUUUUGAAUUUAUUUAUUGGACUGAUCUUAGCAGUUGCUAUUCUCAGCCUAAAACUAUGUUGCUGACAUCGUGCAUGAUGUGACAAAUGGUUUUGAAUUUGAACCCAUUAGAAGUAAACAUAUUUUUUCACUGGAGUGUGAAACUUUAAUUAUGCAUUCAAGUCACAUCAUAGUGAAAUACUAAGCACCGUUCUUUCGUUGUCGUAACCAAAUUUUAGUGACAAGAAGCAGCUUUGUUUUCAUCUAACACUACUGAAGCCCACCUGCAAGUUUAAUAACCUAAAUUGGCAAAGCCAUUUUUUCACUAAAGAUACUCUUUGGAAUGGGAUCCUACUUUAGUACUUUACAUAUUCCAAUUUCCUUCCAAAUUCUAGUUAAAUAAAGUCUACAGCUUCCUUGUAUAAAUAUGAUGUUUUGCCAUGUGUCUAUUGAAGUUUAUGUUGGAAUAAAUUAUUAGACCUACAAGAUCAAGGUAUCUGGAGUAAUAAUAGUCAAAGGCUACAAAAUCGUAGUCCACUUUCUGAGGUGACACGUCCGCGAAGUUAUCAUGUAUGAUUACAAUACAACCUUGUUCUCCAUGGCAUAGUUUCGUGCUUAAAAAUAUUGUUUUUAUGAAACCUUGUUGUAAAUCUUAUGCUGGGUGUUUGAUCGCAGAACUUCACUUGCUGUUGUUUAAUAUUUUUUAAUUGUUUUGAUUUGGUGCUGCUACAUGCACCAUCUGAAUCUGCUCUUCACAUACUUUCUUACUGCCAUGUAUCAAACUUUGUAUUCCUUCCUACUGGUAAUAUGGAUGCAGGUUUGAGGCAGGAAUGUUCAACAAUAAUUGUCACAAAUUCUUAUUUUCUUUCUGUGAAAGUAAACAAUUUUUUGUUUUUCCUAGUUUAUCAGAUCCCCCCCCCCCCCAAUGACAAUAUUGUCAAGUCUAAUGUCUCCAUUGCGUUGCUCUGUCAGGUUGAUUGUGUUCUUUGAGCAGAACGUUCCACAUAAAAGAGAUUUGGCUUUAAGAAAUCUCCAACAAAGCUACAAGUGCUAAAAAAUGUGAUGCUUGGGGAUGGGUUUCUAGCGCCGCCAUGGAUGCUUCAGUCAAUUUUUAGGGCUUGGGGAUGGAUUUAUGGUGCCGCCAUGUAUACUUGAUCGAUUGUUACGGUUAGGGAACAACUGGUGAGCGAGGAUGCAUGAUGAGAGGUUGAAGAAGGAGAUGCAGGGGCAACUUUGUCUCGCUUGCACAAUCUGCAGGAAAGGAUCCUUUCGGUACCCAACAUGCAUGCGCUAUUUUUAUCAAUGUUUCAGAGAAGCAUACCUGAGGUUGGAUCAUAGAACCUUUGGAGUAGUGAGAUCACAGUGCUCUUCCCACAGCCACUGCUUCCUACAAGUGCAACGACUUUGCCUGCGGGGAUGGAUAAUGAGAAUCCUUGGAGAAUUGGCUUAUCCUGCCUGGAUGGAUAGGCGAAAUGCACCCUACGGAAUUUUAUCUCCCCAUGAACCUUUCCUAGCACUGAUCCAUGUUUCUCAUAACUAAUGGAUGGCUUUCUUUUGAUAACCUUGAAUACUUCUUUUCCUGCAGCUUUUGCUUGAUUAAAGGUCUGAAGGUCUGGUGCAGCAUAAGUAAUUGAUCUGAAUCCAUGUGGUGGAAAUCAUAAAUUUUGGUGUAAGAGAAUCAGUCAGGAUGUUACUGUAUCAUUACAUUGCUCCGAAGAGGAUGCUCAUGAUGGCAGCUAUCGUGCCACCUCCUGUUGCCUUUCGGCUGGUUACUGCGACUGCCCCAAUCCAAACCAUCAGUGCCCAUGAACAGAAGGUCACAGCUUGGAACAAUCCCAGUCCUAUCCCUUUUAUCACUGCCUCCUUCUUACUUAGUUUGUACUGAUUAUCCAUGCACCGGACAAAGGAUCUCAUGGCCCGUUUCUCCCCAACAAAGGAGAAAACAGUCUUAAUAUGCGACAAAGUCUGCUCAGAAAAAGGUGUAGUAGGAUUAAGAAUUUAAAUCUUGUAGGCAAUCGUUUAUACUUCCAAUUAACUUGGCUUGAGCUGAUGUAAAUGAUUUACCUGUUCUACAAUAGAUGUUGCUUCUGAGACUAUAGCAUUACGAGAUAACGAUAUGCCAUUCAUCUGUUUCGUGUAUGUUGCUCCAAUGACGAGGAUCAGAGGAAUGACCAGAAAGGAGAGCAAUGCGACUUCCCAGCAGCUGGCAAAUGCAAUUAUGAUACCAGCAAAGAAAGUGGAGAAGCUCGCAACGAAAUGACCGAGCUGCAGAAAAUUGGGGUCAGUGGUCAAGUCAGUGUCGAAGGCCCCAACCUCUUGAUUAAGUACUGAUCUCAGAAAUGCUAGCCGCAUGCGUGCUAAUUGUCUUUCACUUGAGUAUAUCCAGCAUGAGAUCUCUGCAUGCAGAUGAUAAGAGGAUAAGAUGAAACAAAAAUACGAGUUUGGCACUAAAUCCCUAAUAGCUGGACAAGCGUGCUUGUGAGGCUGUAAAAACAUUUAUGAGUUUUAUGCCCUAAUUUUAUACUUAAUGAGGGUAUUUAUUUAACCAAAUGAAAAGCCACAUCUAUCAUGGAAGAUAAAAGGACAGAUUGUUUCUGACUUACCGACCAUUCCAGCAGGAAGAGUAGCUGCUGCCAUGUACCACACAAACGGAACCACCUUCAAGCAAGAAGUGAAAAAAGGUGUAAAAAUAAAAAACGAUCACAGAUCAACAUAUUGAUAUUCAAAGGACUAAAAUGAGAGAAAAGGCUAAUGAUGUACAUGGAUAUCAUGCUUUUAGAAUUGAGAAAACCACCUUAUACAAUGCAUGGACCAUGCCCUCCUGAUCAUUUAUGUUGGUUCCAUAAGCAUCAAGUGCUUUCCCAAGAAGGAGAUAUCCGACGGGGAAUGCCAUGCCAUGAAUUAUAGAUCCAACAGUUCCCAGGGCCAUGAGGAGCCAGUCUACCGCAUCGGCGUAGCAAAGCAGCCCGAGGAAUGGAAAUGGCUUCUCGUCGGUGCUGGAUUCUGACGGAACUGGGAUUGUGCUAUUACUUUCAUCCAUUUCAUCAAAUUGAGAUGAUGAAAUAGAGUGGUCUUCAUCAUGGACUGUAGACAUCUUUUUUCAGUGAUGAUCUUGGUGACCCCUUUUGCAGUAGAGUGGCACUGAAAGGAGAUUCAUAGAUGGCAUUAGUAUUAGAGGUAUGCACAUUUCAUACUGGUGCAUGUUUACGUGUAGAUACUGACAAACAUGUCUUCCAAAAUGGAGUGAGACAAACACAAUAGGUACUCUCAAGGUUGGAAACAAAAUAUUUCUGAACUGGUAAAGGGAUCAGCAUAUUAUGUCAAAUUGUCAAUAUUAGUGGUGGUGUUUGCCUAAGCUUUGACACUGUUAGUUGUCUUUGACAAACUUAGCUGUUUGAUUAAACAAAACAUGUGAAAGCUGCCUAGCUGCUUGACUGAAUCAGUGAAGCUAAGAGAAAACUGAGAAAUGAUAGGAGAGUCUGCACACUUCACAUUAUAUUUUACAUUUUUUUUGUGUGGACCAUCAAGAAACUGGAUUAUCACAUGAUGCCACUUGAUUUGUUCCUUUUAUCUUGAUCUAAAAAAUUCAUCUGGAAGCCAAAUCAAUGUCUGGGGAUCUCACUUUAAUGAUCCUUAACCUUGACCAAUCAAAUGCAUUUCUCACCUCCUUGGAUGAUGACUUGUUAAUUAAGAUAAAAAAGAUUUGAUCUGCAGAUUAUGUUAAGCUGUGCUUACAUGACCAAGGUGGGUUUCUGGGAAUAACUGUGGCAUAAUCUGAGCAUAUUCUGUUUUAGACUGCAAUACUGCAUAUCAUACACAAGGCUGUCGAUGUCGUCAUGUCGCAUGCCAUUGCAACCAACCCGGAAUGCUUGUUUGCACCUGAGGAAGUUUGUUUAUGUAUGUUGUCCAGGAGGGAGUAUCCAAGGGGAAAUAGUGUAUCAUUUCUGAUCAUUGCCAGCAUACUGAACAUUUUGCCUGUUAGUCAUACAACCUGAUGAAAAAUAACAGCUGCAUCGAUCACAUUGUGCAUGUUGCCGUUUGCAAUUGGGAGGCACACGGGUAGCUGGUUGGUUCUCCAGGUGGUUUUUGACAAUCUUCGUUGAUGCUGCAAAGGUAGUCUCCAAAAGAAGAGCCAAUUUGGUUUAUUCCCAGAAUUUUGUGCAAAAAGCUCCUAUAUUUGCAGUUUGGAAGAAAUUUGGAUUAUUAUCCAGGCUCGGGAGGCCAGUCAACUGGAAGCUACAAAGAAAACGUUUUCUUGAUUGAAGCACCAGCGUAUGCAUAUGCUACUUCAGUUUUCGUCUUUCUGCUGUUGUGCUCAUUAGCAACAUUCAUGCUGUUAGAGAAAUGCAAGUUAUGACCGCAUCAUCCAUGUCAUUUUCACUGAUGGGAUCAGGAGGGAAUAUCCGGAAUUUCAGAUGUCUUGUGGGACACAGGGAUGACUGGUUCAAACUACUGUUUAAAAAUUUUGAGUUCAGUCUUACAUUUUGGAAGUUUUUGAGGAUUAUAUUGUCUGCCAGAGUACUCUCCUCAUAGUGCAUGUUUGUCCUGACUUUGUAUCCAUGCAGAUGAGAGUAGUUGUACCUAUUUCUUGAAUAAGUUUACCGACACAUCAUUUCUUAACAUUUUGCUGGUUGCUCCUACAAAAUCCGGUUCCAAUAAGAGCUCAGAUCUGUGUUUGUUCUCUGAAUUUUGCGCAAAAAGUUGCCGAAUUUGCAUUGCCUGGCUUUUUUUAGGCUCAGUAGGCUGGCCAGUCAAUUGGAAUCUUCAAAUGACAAAGAAGAAGAAGAAAUUUCUCCUUAAUUUGCCACAUGGUUGGAAGGCCAAACAAAAUGAUGCAUCAUGUCUGAACAUUUUCAAGAAGGGAGCCUAUUUGUUUUCUUAUCAGAAAUUUUCAUGAAAAGCUCCGAAAUUUGCAGCCAUCUCCGGAUGCUUGUUUGCACCUGAAGAAGUUUGCUGAUGCUACUUGUCCAAGAGGGAGAGCAUACAAGGGAAAAUGCUGCAUUACUUCUGAUCAUUGCCAGAGAAUCAUUCGAUAGUCUUAAGUCUUAACCCUGUCUCAUGCAAACUGAACAUGUUGCUUGGUGCUCGUAAAAAACUGACAGAAACUAACGUUGCAUCUGAUCGCAUUGUGCAGGUUUCCAUCUGCAAUUGGGAGGCACACUGACACCUGGUCGGUUCUCCAGGCGAUUUUCGACAAUCUUUGUCGACGCUGCGAAAAUGGUCUCCAAGAAAAGGGCCAAUUUGGUUUCUUCUCAGAAUUUUGCGCAAAAACCUCCCAGAUUUGAAGCUACAAAAAACAUUUCUUGACCGAGAGGGAUUUUGUUCCAUCCUUCGCUCUACUAAUCAGAUCAUUCUCAGACGUCCAAAGCAGGAUAUGCUACUUCAGUUUUGUUUUUUUGUUGUUGUUCUCAUUAGGCACGAGUAUGAAGAUACAUAAAUGUAAGUUCUGAUCGCACCA